rnacentral:rRNA from 1 species
UACCAGCACCCCGAGUGGUCGGGACGAUUAUUGGGCCUAAAGCAUCCGUAGCCGGCCUUACAAGUCCUCCGUUAAAUCCAGCUGCUUAACAGAUGGGCUGCGGAGGAUACUAUAAGACUAGGAGGCAGGAGAGGCAAGCGGUACUCAGUGGGUAGGGGUAAAAUCCGUUGAUCCAUUGAAGACCACCACGUGGCGAAGGCGGCUUGCCAGAAUGCGCUCGACGGUGAGGGAUGAAAGCUGGGGAGCAAACCGG